CUGGGUGGGGACCAUGGGGAUGAGCAAAUGGAUCUGAGAGACUCAAGAAAUAGAGUAGACGGUACCCGGUGGUUGCCUUGUUGUAGGGGAACAGGCGCUCCUAACAGGCUGCAUGUGUGCUGCAAAGGAUGCAGGGUCCACCCUGACUGUGGAGGACACACAGGGGCUCCAGGGGCAACACUUCAUAGGCAAGGAACAAGCUCCCUGCCCUCAGUUCUACAAAAUCCCUCAAGCUCACAAAAACGGCCUGAAUGAGCCCAGGACUUAGGGGACCAGAUGAAUGGGACCACAGGACCCCAACAAGCCCCCUGGUGGGGCUGUGGCAUGCACAGACCCCAUCCAACUCUUGGCCACCUUCACCUGUGUAUGUAGAAGCCAAACACUUUACCUCUUUAAGAUUACCUUUCUUCAUGCAUGACUUUCGUUGGCUUGUAAGAUUUCCCCAGACAAUGCUUAGAACUCAAACUGCAGUGGGCAGAACACAAGCUGUGUAAUCACACCUUGUGCAAAUCUUAGCUAACAUGCACUGAACCACCAUUUUACUGAGCAGUUGCUACAUGCCUAGACAAUGCCUGGCACACAGCCAGCACAUGCCCACAGGGAGGAGUGUGGGGGUGGAGUGGCACUCAAAUACUCAGGGCAGUUGCUUUCCUUCACCCAGCAGCCCCUGGCUGACACUCAGCCCUGGGCAGUUCCUUCUGUGUACAGGUUCUUAGCACUGCCCAGACACCAGGCAGAUCCAGGCUGAGAUGGGCAGCCCAGUGCACCGAGUGUCGUUGGGGGAUACCUGGAGCAGGCAAAUGCACCCCGACAUAGAGAGCGAGAGGUACAUUCAGUCCUUUGAUGUGGAACAGCUCACGAACAUCCUUGAUAGAGGUGCCCAGAACACUGCCCUCCGGAGGAAAGUCGAAAGCAUCAUCUACAGCAACCCGGAGUUUAGCCCAAAGGAUAAUUAUUUCAUGACCCAGAAUGAACAUUACGAGGCCGCUGUCCGGAAGACAUUCCACAUCCAGAUGAUAGCGCAGCGCCUGGGCUGGGCAAAAGACAGUCUUGAAUUACGUUAUGCUUACAGAGCCCUUUCUGGAGUCCUGGCCUUCAAUUUACACCGAGUCUUCCUGAUAGCGCUCAGGAGCCUGGGAUCAGAGGAGCAGAUUGACAGAUGGGUCCCGCUCUGCAACAACUUCCAGAUCAUCACAACGUACGCCCAGACGGAACUGGGACACGGGACGUAUCUUCAGGGCCUGGAGACUGAAGCCACCUACGACGCAGCCACCCAGGAGUUUGUGGUACACAGCCCCACAAUGACUGCCACCAAAUGGUGGCCUGGGGACCUGGGACGGUCCGCCACCCACGCCCUGGUCCUGGCCCAGCUGAUCUGCUCAGGAGCCCAGAGGGGCAUGCAUGCCUUUAUCGUGCCCAUCAGGAGCCUCCAGGACCAUACCCCACUGCCGGGAAUUACUGUUGGAGACAUCGGGCCCAAGAUGGAUUUUGACCACACGGACAAUGGCUUCCUGCGACUAGACCACGUGCGGAUCCCCAGGGAGAACAUGCUGAGUCGUUUUGCACAGGUCCUGCCAGAUGGCACCUACAUCAAGCUUGGGACAGCACAGAGCAACUACCUCUCCAUGGUGGUGUUACGGGUGGAGCUGCUGCUGGGCGAGAUCAUCCCCCUGCUGCAGAAGGCCUGCGUCAUCGCCACCCGCUACUCGGUGGUCCGCCGCCAGUCCCGGCUCCGGCCCAGCGACCCAGAGACGAAAAUCCUGGACUACCAGACCCAGCAGCAGAAACUCCUCCCGCAGCUGGCCACGGUCUACGCAUUCCACUUCCUGGCGGGCAGCCUCAUGGAGUUCUUCCAGAGCUCCUACAGUGCCAUCCUGCACAAAGACUUCAGCCUCCUGCCCGAGCUUCACGCACUGAGCUCAGGUGUGAAGGCCAUGGUGUCCGACCUCUGCACCCAGGGGGCUGAGGUUUGCCGCAGGGCCUGCGGUGGACACGGCUACUCGAAGCUGAGUGGCCUGCCGUCACUGGUCAACAAAGUGACUGCUUCCUGCACCUAUGAGGGUGAGAACACCGUGCUCUACCUACAGAUGGCCAGGUUUCUGGUGAAGAGCUACCUGCAGGCUCAGGCCACCCCAGGUUCCACAUCGCAGAGGUCCCUCCCUCAGUCUGUCGCAUACCUCAGCGCACCUGACCUGGCCAGGUGCCCAGCCCAGAAGGCAGCCGACUUCCUCCACCCAGAGCUCUACACUACUGCCUGGACACACGUGGCAGCCAGGGACCCUAGGCAGCCUGGGACCAACCUCCAUCAGUCUCUUUCCCACUCAGUCAAGAAGCUGGACCUCUUUCCCUCGUCCUUCAGGCUCAUAAAGAACUCAGUGCAUCAUUUGCAGACUCUGAUGCAGUCCGGGGCCGACAGGCACGAGGCAUGGAACCAGACCACCAUCAUUCACCUCCAGGCUGCUAAGGCACACUGCUACUACAUGGCUGUGAAGAGCUUCACAGAAGCGCUGGGGGAGCUGGAAAGUGAGCCGGCAGUUCAUCGGGCACUCAAGCGCCUCUGCGAUCUCUUCGCUCUGCACGGCAUCCUGACCACCGCGGGCGACUUUCUCCACGAUGGCUUCCUGUCUGGCGCCCAAGUAGAUGCGGCGAGAACAGCCUACCUGGACCUGCUCCCCCUCAUCCGGAAGGAUGCCAUCCUGUUAACUGAUGCUUUUGACUUCACCGAUCAGUGUUUAAACUCAGCCCUUGGCUGUUACGAUGGAAACGUCUAUGAACGUCUGUUCCACUGGGCUCAGAGGUCACCAACCAACACUCAGGUUGGCAAUCACCUGGCAUAGCAUGUCUGUUUAAAACAUUUUGGGAAUACAUACAAGGCACCAGGGCUGAGGACCUGACCUGGCAGGAACCCGUCUGGACUGUAAUCAGUACGACACACUGCUCAGGAUCUGGUAAAGAGAAUUGGGAGGAAGGCCCAAGUGCUAAAUCAUGGCUUGACAAGUGCAUCACACAGAGUGGUGCGGGGGCUUUUAAGUAACAAAAAUAAGAAGAUAAAUCACUGUGGUGAUUUAACCACCUUAUUGUCAGCCUCCAACUCUGUUUUAUGCUGAUAAAGGUGGGUAUUCAGAGGUGACAAGAAGCUGGGGUGGGGGUCCCUCUCAGACCUGCCUGCUAGAGACACCUCCUUUCUUUUCACUCUAAGGAACAAAAUCCCAGAAGUAAAGAAGGCUGCACUGCCUCCAAUGGCCCAGGAAAGCUGUAUAAAUGACAGUUAUAAGGGUUAUGGUGAAAAGAUCCCCGACUGUCCUAGGAAAAGAACUCCCAGAACUCCAUGUUAACAGAAGAUGGGGAGGACUCAUAAAAUCCUAUGAGUCUAGGGCCAUGGUACCAGACUGCCUGCUAUGAGCCUCACUGGGAGAAGUAAAGAGUAUCAAUGACUACAUUCACUGGGGAGAACCCUGCCUAUGAGAAAUAUAUAAGACCGCUAUUACAAAGUUGGAGAUCCAAGCUGUAAAAUAAUCAACGGCAUUCAAGAGGCACCACUAUGUGAUAAUAGUACUAUGGCCAAUACAUCAUUAAAAUGUUAAAGAGAGAGAGAGAGAGAGAGAGAGAGAGAGUCAUCUUCUUGAAAUGGAUCAAAGACCUGAAUGUAAGUCAUGAAACCACAAAACUCUUAGAAGAAAACAUAGGCA